GAGAGUUGAUCAUGGCUCAGGAUGAACGCUGGCGGCGUGACUUAACACAUGCAAGUCGAACGAAGCUCCGGAAGCAGAGAUUCGGUCAAAGCGGAAGGAAGACUUAGUGGCGGACGGGUGAGUAACGCGUGGGUAACCUGCCAUAUACAGGGGGAUAACAGUUAGAAAUGACUGCUAAUACCCCAUAAGCGCACAGUGAGGCAUCUCACAGUGUGAAAAGCCUUAACGGUAUAUGAUGGACCCGCGUCUGAUUAGCUUGUUGGCAGGGUAACGGCCUACCAAGGCGACGAUCAGUAGCCGGCCUGAGAGGGUGAACGGCCACAUUGGGACUGAGACACGGCCCAAACUCCUACGGGAGGCAGCAGUGGGGAAUAUUGCACAAUGGGGGAAACCCUGAUGCAAGCGACGCCGCGUGAGUGAAGAAGCAUUUCGGUGCGUAAAGCUCUAUCAGCAGGGAAGAAAAUGACGGUACCUGACUAAGAAGCCCCGGCUAACUACGUGCCAGCCGCAGC
rnacentral:rRNA from 1 species